rnacentral:rRNA from 1 species
AUUGAACGCUGGCGGCAGGCUUAACACAUGCAAGUCGAGCGGGGAAAGGUAGCUUGCUACCUGACCUAGCGGCGGACGGGUGAGUAAUGCUUAGGAAUCUGCCUAUUAGUGGGGGACAACGUUCCGAGAGGAACGCUAAUACCGCAUACGUCCUACGGGGGAAAGCAGGGGAUCUUCGGACCUUGCGCUAAUAGAUGAGCCUAAGUCGGAUUAGCUAGUUGGUGGGGUAAAGGCCUACCAAGGCGACGAUCUGUAGCGGGUCUGAGAGGAUGAUCCGCCACACUGGGACUGAGACACGGCCCAGACUCCUACGGGAGGCAGCAGUGGGGAAUAUUGGACAAUGGGCGGAAGCCUGAUCCAGCCAUGCCGCGUGUGUGAAGAAGGCCUUUUGGUUGUAAAGCACUUUAAGCGAGGAGGAGGCUCCUUUAGUUAAUACCUAAAGAGAGUGGACGUUACUCGCAGAAUAAGCACCGGCUAACUCUGUGCCAGCAGCCGCCGUAACAC